CGAUAGAUAAUUGUGAACUUUGUCUUUUCCUUAGAUUCGAGCAGCUGGAUCGAAUAUACAUCAAAAAUAUUUUUAGAAGUUUAAAAUAUAAAAAAAAAAUUAAUGGUGUGAAACGUGUGUGGUAUUUGCUAAUUAUAGCAAUUCAGGACACUUCGAGAGAAAUUUUCAAAAAUGAGGACUGUCUUCCGCCAUCAUCAGCCCUCAGGUCCACCGCUUUCUCCUCCAUUCCCGAGACUUUCUAGAGGUCGCCUACCCGUUCUUCCAAGCAGCCUUCGUCUGCUCCCCGCCGACCAAAUAAAAGAGAAAAGAUUAAAUCAAAAUAAAAGAAACGAUUCAAACGUUAAGAUAAUAAGCUGAUCGUCUUCGUUUUUGAAACUUCUAAUACUCAAUUUUUCAAAAUUCAGGACAAAUCACAACUUUUGGAGAACGGAAUGGCCAAUCGAUCGUUUUGAUUUGGAUAGCAUGGGCAAAGAAACUUUUAGAUGGAAAGGUAAAGGGCUUGACGUCGACGAUCAACCAUCCUCCUCCUUAAACUUCGAUAACUCAUUCUUGAACUUCUGAAAGUCAACCUCGAAGACGUCGUCAAUCUCUACCAUGGGCUGGUAUGUCAUGUAGCUCUUCUUCACUGCUCCAUUCUUCCUGAAAUCCGAUCAGAAGUAGUCAACAAUCAUCCAUCCAGACCUCGCAGAGGGGUGGGUUGGCCUUGUGUCGACCGCCGAGAGUGAGAGAGAGAAGAGACGAGGGAGAGAUCCCAU
rnacentral:lncRNA from 1 species